GGGCUAACGAGAUUUCGAUUUCUUUUUCGAUUCUUUCUUUAUUAUUGAUUCAUGUGUCGGACUAGUUGCUUGCCAAAAAAAGGCCUAUACUGGUGGUUUUUAUGGUCUUUCCUGUUAAAUGAAAUGUCCCUGCCUUCUUUUCGUUCUUGCACAACCUAUUCUGAUGUCGCCGAAUCGGCUUAAAUCGGGCUUGAUGCCAUCUGCGGUUCGGAAUCCAUGUGGG
rnacentral:misc_RNA from 1 species